rnacentral:tRNA from 1 species
GCCACUCUAGCUCAGCUGGUAGAGCAGCUGUUUUGUAAACAGCGGGUCGUGGGUUCGAGUCCCUCGAGUGGCU